UUAUGGUUUGCAACCAGUUUUAGCCAAUCUGUUUGUGUUGCCACUCCAACUCAGGGAAAGCGUUUCAAAUUUAUGUGGAAUAUCCCAUCUACAAUAUGACCAACUUGUACAUGAAGACAAACAAGCAUAGUUUACCUUCACAAUAAUCCUAGGAGAGUUUGAAUGGACUGCCUUAAUAUUGGAUGAGUUCCCCCUUUGUGGAGGUCUUCAAGCACAAGAUGGACAACCAUUUGUCAGGCAUGUUAUAAUGGAGAUUCUUGUUCAGCCAUGA
rnacentral:lncRNA from 1 species